UACGUAGGGGGCAAGCGUUGUCCGGAUUUAUUGGGCGUAAAGAGCGUGUAGGCGGCUCGGUAAGUCCGCUCUGAAAGCCCGGGGCUCAACCCCGGGAGGCGGGCGGAUACUGUCGGGCUAGAGUCCGGAAGAGGCGAGUGGAAUUCCUGGUGUAGCGGUGAAAUGCGCAGAUAUCAGGAGGAACACCAAUGGCGAAGGCGGCUUCCUGGACCUGUUCUGACGCUGAGGAGCGAAAGCGUGGGGAGCGAUCCGG
rnacentral:rRNA from 1 species